rnacentral:rRNA from 1 species
UCCGUAGGUGAACCUGCGGAAGGAUCAUUAUUGAAUUCAUCUGCUGGGUUGUUGCUGGUUCCUUAUGGUUCAUGUGCACGCCGAGCUUUUGACUUUAUCCCCUGUGCACUUUUGUAGUCGGCUUUUGUGUUAGGUCAUGUGUCUAGUAUUAGAAAUUUGACUGAGCAUAGAGUUGUUCUACGUUUAUACAAACCCAUUGUAUGUUCAGAAGUUUUUUAUUGGUCGGAAGACCUUUAAUCAUAAUACAACUAUUGACAACGGAUCUCUUGGCUCACGCAUCGAUGAAGAACGCAGCGAAAUGCGAUAAGUAAUGUGAAUUGCAGAUUUCAGUGAAUCAUCGAAUCUUUGAACGCACCUUGCACCUUCUGGUAUUCCGGAAGGUACAUCUGUUUGAGUGUCAUUAAAUUCUCAACCAUUCAGGCUUUGCUUGUAUGGCUUGGUUGUGAGGGAUGCGGGCUUUUGUUAGUCGGCUCUCUUGAAAUGCAUUAGCUGGGAACUAGUAUUAGGUUCAAGUGCAUUGAUGCUUGAAGACCUCCUGGUGUGAUAAUUAUCUACGCCGUUGGUUUAGUCUUUGCUUGUAUUGGCCUUAGAAUGUGUCCUGCUUCUAAUUGUCUACUUAGUAGACUAAUCCUUAUGGAUUACAUUUGACUAUUGUGACCUCAAAUCAGAUGGGACUACCCGCUGAACUUAAGCAUAUCAAUAAGCGGAGGA